AUUCCAUGAUGAGGACAAUCUUGAAUGUAUCCUUGCAAACGCUCCCAUGCUUCUAAAAUGGUUUCUGUCUUACGCUGUUGGAAGUUGGUAAUCUUUCCUCGAAAGGC
rfam:Sorghum bicolor cultivar BTx623 chromosome 5, whole genome shotgun sequence.